UAGGGAAUCUUCGGCAAUGGACGGAAGUCUGACCGAGCAACGCCGCGUGAGUGAAGAAGGUUUUCGGAUCGUAAAGCUCUGUUGUAAGAGAAGAACGAGUGUGAGAGUGGAAAGUUCACACUGUGACGGUAUCUUACCAGAAAGGGACGGCUAACUACGUGCCAGCAGCCGCGGUAAUACGUAGGUCCCGAGCGUUGUCCGGAUUUAUUGGGCGUAAAGCGAGCGCAGGCGGUUAGAUAAGUCUGAAGUUAAAGGCUGUGGCUUAACCAUAGUACGCUUUGGAAACUGUUUAACUUGAGUGCAAGAGGGGAGAGUGGAAUUCUUCCAUGAGUAGCGGUGAAACGUAGAUAUAAGGAGGAACACCGGUGGCGAAAGCGGCUCUCUGGCUUGUAACUGACGCUGAGGCUCGAAAGCGUGGGGAGCAAACAGGAUUAGAUACCCUGGUAGUCCACGCCGUAAACGAUGAGUGCUAGGUGUUAGACCCUUUCCGGGGUUUAGUGCCGCAGCUAACGCAUUAAGCACUCCGCCUGGGGAGUACGACCGCAAGGUUG
rnacentral:rRNA from 1 species